UUUCCGUAGGUGAACCUGCGGAAGGAUCAUUAAUGAAUUCACUAUGGAGUUGUUGCUGGCCUCUAGGGGCAUGUGCACGCUUCACUAGUCUUUCAACCACCUGUGAACUUUUGAUAGAUCUGUGAAGUCGUCUCUCAAGUCGUCAGACUUGGUUGCUGGGAUUUAAACGUCUCGGUGUGACUACGCAGUCUAUUUACUUACACACCCCAAAUGUAUGUCUACGAAUGUCAUUUAAUGGGCCUUGUGCCUUUAAACCAUAAUACAACUUUCAACAACGGAUCUCUUGGCUCUCGCAUCGAUGAAGAACGCAGCGAAAUGCGAUAAGUAAUGUGAAUUGCAGAAUUCAGUGAAUCAUCGAAUCUUUGAACGCACCUUGCGCCCCUUGGUAUUCCGAGGGGCAUGCCUGUUUGAGUGUCAUUAAAUUCUCAAACUCACUUUGGUUUCUUUCCAAUUGUGAUGUUUGGAUUGUUGGGGGCUGCUGGCCUUGACAGGUCGGCUCCUCUUAAAUGCAUUAGCAGGACUUCUCAUUGCCUCUGCGCAUGAUGUGAUAAUUAUCACUCAUCAAUAGCACGCAUGAAUAGAGUCCAGCUCUCUAAUCGUCCGCAAGGACAAUUUGACAAUUUGACCUCAAAUCAGUAGGACUACCCGCUGAACUUAAA
rnacentral:rRNA from 1 species